rnacentral:rRNA from 1 species
CCCUUAGACGUUCUGGGCCGCACGCGCGCUACACUGACGAAGGCAACGAGCUUUCCUUUACCGAAAGGUACGGGUAAUCUUUUGAAACUUCGUCGUGCUGGGGAUAGAUCCUUGCAAUUAUUGAUCUUAAACGAGGAAUUCCUAGUAAGCGCAAGUCAUCAACUUGCGUUGAUUACGUCCCUGCCCUUUGUACACACCGCCCGUCGCUACUACCGAUUGAAUGGUUUAGUGAGGCCUUCGGAUCCGCAACUCGUUUUGUGGAGAAGUUGGACAAACUCAGUCAUUUAGAGGAAGGUGAAGUCGUAACA